rnacentral:rRNA from 1 species
GAUGAACGCUGGCGGCGUGCUUAACACAUGCAAGUCGAACGAAGCACUUGAAACAGAUUCUUCGGAUGAAGUUUCCUGUGACUGAGUGGCGGACGGGUGAGUAACGCGUGGGUAACCUGCCUCAUACAGGGGGAUAACAGUUAGAAAUGGCUGCUAAUACCGCAUAAGCGCACGGCAUCGCAUGAUGCAGUGUGAAAAACUCCGGUGGUAUGAGAUGGACCCGCGUUGGAUUAGCUAGUUGGCAGGGCAACGGCCUACCAAGGCGACGAUCCAUAGCCGGCCUGAGAGGGUGGACGGCCACAUUGGGACUGAGACACGGCCCAGACUCCUACGGGAGGCAGCAGUGGGGAAUAUUGCACAAUGGGGGAAACCCUGAUGCAGCGACGCCGCGUGAGCGAAGAAGUAUUUCGGUAUGUAAAGCUCUAUCAGCAGGGAAGAAAAUGACGGUACCUGACUAAGAAGCCCCGGCUAACUACGUGCCAGCAGCCGCCGUAA